GAUGAACGCUUGCUACAGGCUUAACACAUGCAAGUCGAGGGGAAACGAUAUUGGAAGCUUGCUUCCGAUAGGCGUCGACCGGCGCACGGGUGAGUAACGCGUAUCCAACCUGCCCACCACUUGGGAAUAACCUUGCGAAAGUAAGACUAAUGCCCAAUGAUAUCUCUAGAAGACACCUGAAGGAGAUUAAAGAUUUAUCGGUGAUGGAUGGGGAUGCGUCUGAUUAGCUUGUUGGCGGGGUAACGGCCCACCAAGGCGACGAUCAGUAGGGGUUCUGAGAGGAAGGUCCCCCACAUUGGAACUGAGACACGGUCCAAACUCCUACGGGAGGCAGCAGUGAGGAAUAUUGGUCAAUGGGCGAGAGCCUGAACCAGCCAAGUAGCGUGCAGGAUGACGGCCCUAUGGGUUGUAAACUGCUUUUAUAAGGGAAUAAAGUUAGUCUCGUGAGACUUUUUGCAUGUACCUUAUGAAUAAGGACCGGCUAAUUCCGUGCCAGCCGCCGCGGUAA
rnacentral:rRNA from 1 species